UGGAAGAUGUGUGGAGCACUGUCCUUUUUCUUUCAAAAAUGCAAAAAAACAAAAUCCCCUCUUCCCUCCCCUCCCCUGAUGAAGGCAGAGCUGCUUGGGUAACAAUUAUUUCACCAAAAAAGCAGUGAGGAGUCUGGAUGGGCAGUAAGAAUCCUCACCUGACACCUAUGUGAUAAAGGACCCCUACUCUAUUUUUUCUUCGUUCUUCCUGCCACUGUUGUCUGUAGGAUCUCGGCCAUAUUUGUUGCAGAAGUUGGAAGGUGUGUGGUGACUGAGACAGAGAACUGCUGGAAGCAAGGCCGGCUCCAGCUUUUUUGCCGCCCCAAGUGAUGAAGAAAAAAAAAAGAG